GACGAACGCUGGCGGCGUGCUUAACACAUGCAAGUCGAACGGAAAGGCCCUGCUUUUGUGGGGUGCUCGAGUGGCGAACGGGUGAGUAACACGUGAGUAACCUGCCCUUGACUUUGGGAUAACUUCAGGAAACUGGGGCUAAUACCGGAUAGGAGCUCCUGCUGCAUGGUGGGGGUUGGAAAGUUUCGGCGGUUGGGGAUGGACUCGCGGCUUAUCAGCUUGUUGGUGGGGUAGUGGCUUACCAAGGCUUUGACGGGUAGCCGGCCUGAGAGGGUGACCGGCUACAUUGGGACUGAGAUACGGCCCAGACUCCUACGGGAGGCAGCAGUGGGGAAUAUUGCACAAUGGGCGGAAGCCUGGUGCAGCAACGCCGCGUGCGGGAUGACGGCCUUCGGGUUGUAAACCGCUUUCGCCUGUGACGAAGCGUGAGUGACGGUAAUGGGUAAAGAAGCACCGGCUAACUACGUG
rnacentral:rRNA from 1 species